GAACGGAGUUUGGAAGAGCGUGGUUCGCUCAGCAUCUCGCCCUCCCGAGGACAGUGCGCUGCUCUGCUAAGAGAGGAGCUGGGUCUCACCUGCACCUGCCCGUCCUUUCCCUUAAAAACAGCAGAUUGCGUUUGUUUUGGUGUCUUCCCCUUCCUACGAUAAUUGAUGUUUGUUUUGUUCCUUGAAACUGCACACUUCCCCAAGAUCAAGCUGUUUUCUUUCUGGCUUCGGUUACUUACCUCCGAAGAAGUUCGAGAGGCACUAAACAAACACUCAGCUGGAGAGAACACCAUCCUUGUGGGACCUGUUCUUUUUAAGAAUCCAAGCACAAGGUCACUUUCUGAAUGGGAUACAAAGAGCAGCAUUCUGCAGAAUGGAGAGGUCACCGUUUACGGCGCUCCAUCAAGCCCAGAGCUCACCUAUUAUACUGAUCUCGGUGGCCAGCUUACUCUGUGGAUCCAGACUCUACAGGACCAGGCUGAAAUAUGACUUGUUCUGCCAAUCUAGAGUUACAAUCUAGGAUUCCGGAGGGAGAUCCAUCACUCUGGGGUCAGAAUCCAGGCCCUCUCGCCUACGUGAAAAGUGCCUUUCCAUAGCUGGCUGAGAGAAGUCCCUGCUUUGUGUUUUGGAUGGUAGAAGAAGAGCACUGCAGGCUUUGAAAGACCUGGGCUCUUGCUCGCUGUUGAGAGAAUCCACAGA
ensembl:lincRNA Gm5420 predicted gene 5420